UGGUUAUUCCACACACACGCACACUCCUUUUUUGGAUGUUGUGUUUUCUGUGUGUGUGGCACUCGUCGCCUUUGUGGGAAAUCCGUGUGGCACUUGUUUGGUGUUGUUGGCAGACUUCGGUCUUGCCUUCACACACGUUUCACAUGUGUCAUGCCUUCCCUCAACUCACGGCAUCCAGGAAUGAAGGAGGGUAGUUCGGGGGAGAACGUACUGGUGCGUCAGAAGAGACCAUUGUAGUCCACACUGCAAACGAUGACACCCAUGAAUUGGGGAGUUUUUGGUCGUAGGCGUGGUCGGGCUUGAUUAUAUUAUUUUUCAUCCCGUUCCUCGUCUCGCCAAUGAAUAUAUUAAAUUUACGUGCAUAUUCUUUUUGGUCUUCGUUUUUUUACGGCGAGGACCUUUAACGGGAAUAUCCUCAGCACG
rnacentral:rRNA from 1 species